UUUUUGACAUAGGUUUUCAUAAUUACAAUGAUUGUUGUAUUUAUAAAGUUACAGGAAGGAAGGGAUAGGGUUUUGGAUCGAUUGAUUGUUGUAUUUAUUUUGCUUAGUCAUGAUAUUUCAUCGUAGAUUCUUGUUCUAUGGAUGUCUCGUGAAAGUGAUUUAGAUUUGUUAUAACGAAAGAGUAGUACUAGAAGGCACAAUAUUUGAACUAACUUACUGCAAAUUAUCGAAAGACUUUCAACUUGAAAAAGACGAUGAAGGUCCUACCACCGUAGGUGUUGAAGAUAGUAAAUCUUAUUCCUCACCUUUCAAGGCCAUUGCUUCUAGCAUUUGCAGCUGUGGGACACACCAAGCCAACACCAAUUCAAGUUAUUAUUAUCCAAUACUACUAAUAUAUUUUUUUUAUAUUCUUGACUCAUGUUUCUAGUCGGAUACUUCAACAUCCAUAGUUUUUGUUCUUUGAUUUGUGUUGUACUCUUGUUUCAUUCUAUCUCAUUUACAAUCGGUCUUACAUUCUUUCGCGUUGUUGGAUAUUUCAGGGCAAUUAUAAGAAAUCUUGUCAAUAAGGCUGGAAUAAUGCUGUGAGAAAUUAAAAAUCUACCAAAAGGCUAUUGUUGUAUUGGAGAAGAAGUUGGGUGUGCUCCUGAUAGAGGGAGCGAGCUACACAAAUGUGAAGUAAAACUGUAAAAGUAUCUACCAAGAAAACGUGACUCUUAGCAGUACAUGAACCAGGUCAUUCUCGUAUUGGCAUAUUUAUUUCCGCAAUUUGAUUGGCAUCCAUUUUCACAGUUGCUACUAAGUAGUAAGGUGUAACAACAUUUUGAGGUUGAAUUGUUUGUCUAUGCUGAAUCUGCGCACCUUUUCUAAAAGCUAGCGAUUACAAAUAGGAAACAGCAAUAUACGUUUUUUACCUAGGGAAGAUAUGGUAGAUCAAGCUUACUCAAUAUCUGGCUAUAUGAUGAUGCAAAUGGUGGUAGCUGAUGGUGGGCUUUGUGUUGAAACUGUUGUAUUCUGUAACUAUCAUUAUUUUGAUCUCUGCUCCAUGGAGACCAACUUUAUAUCGUAUAUGUGUUGAUGGUGUGACUUGACUAUGUUAAGAUUCGUUAUGGAAGUGACUUUUGGAAUCUCAAA